rnacentral:rRNA from 1 species
AGAACGAACGCUGGCGGCAGGCUUAACACAUGCAAGUCGAACGCUCGUAGCAAUACGGGAGUGGCAGACGGGUGAGUAACGCGUGGGAACAUACCCUCCGGUUCGGAAUAGCUCAGGGAAACUUGGAUUAAUACCGGAUACGGCUGAGAGGCGAAAGAUUUAUCGCCGGAGGAUUGGCCCGCGUUCGAUUAGCUUGUUGGUGAGGUAACGGCUCACCAAGGCGAUGAUCGAUAGCUGGUCUGAGAGGAUGAUCAGCCACAUUGGGACUGAGACACGGCCCAAACUCCUACGGGAGGCAGCAGUGGGGAAUAUUGGACAAUGGGCGCAAGCCUGAUCCAGCCAUGCCGCGUGAGUGAUGGCGGCCUUAGGGUUGUAAAGCUCUUUCGCUCGGGACGAUAAUGACGGUACCGAGAUAAGAAGCCCCGGCUAACUUCGUGCCAGCAGCCGC